rnacentral:tRNA from 1 species
AAAGAAUUAGUUAAAUUAACAUUAGUAUGUCAAGCUAAAAUUAUUAGUAAUAACCUAAUAUUCUUUG